rnacentral:tRNA from 1 species
GAGCCACUAGCUCAUCCGGUAGAGCACAGCCCUUUUAAGGCUGGGGUGCCGCGUUCGAGUCGCGGGUGGCUCA